CACUGUCCUAAACGGAUGCCCAUAUAUGUACUGUUAUAAGAGUAAGGGCACGAUCAUAAACGGAUGCCCAUAUAUCAACUGUUGUUAAUAUGUGGUAAUCCAGCUGUGUGUCCUCCAAAGUUUGUAGAGGGGAGGACACUCACGUGACCUCGAGUGAGAGAUAAAAAAAGGUAUAUAUAGAGAAACUGCCGAUACUUCAGCGCUGCCUUCUUGAAUUCAUUUAGACAACCAUUUGACUUCGGGUAAUUGGCACCUGACUCAAAUUACUUAAAGAUUCUAACUUGUUGGAUUUGAGAAGUGUCUCUCCGAUAUACCGUUUAACUAUUGAACAGCUGUCCUGUCGCCUGCGGCCUUGGUGCUUGUAUACUGAUGCAAAUUAUAUCCAGAGAAAGUCUCAGUAAUUAACCUCUCGAUUGAGCUCAGUACCUCGCCCUCGUUGUAUGGCACAGACUAUUCAAUAUUCCAGUGGGGCAGGGAAUCACCAGCGGGUUCUCUCAUCCAGUCCAAACUUGAAUCUCUAAAUUUAGUAAAGCACCGACUCCAAUUCAACCUCUCAGCCAGUAGAGGGGAGUCGCUACCUACCUAAAUUCUUAAAAGAACUCUGACCGACUGAAACUCUGCUCCUGAUACCGUGGGUCUCCCUGUCAUCUUUUAAAGCAGCUCAGUGACCUGAGAGGGAUUCUGAUCUUCAUUGUUGUGAAGACAUGAUAUCUCCCUUUACAUUUCUGAGUAAAAUGAAGAUCUGGAUUACAAUUAUCCACAAUGUAUAUAUACUGAACAAAAAUAUAAACGCAACAUGUAAAGUGUUGGUACUAUGUUUCACGAGCAGAAAUAAAAGAUACCAGAAAUGUUCCAAACGCACAAAAAGCGUAUUUCUCUUAAAUGUUCAAAUGUAAAUCAUCCCUGUUAGUGAACAUUUCUCAGUGUCCAUCCACCUGACAGGUGUGGCAGAUCAAGAAGCUGAUUAAACAGCAUGAUCAUUACACAGGUGCACCUUGCGCUGGGGACAAUAAAAGGCCACUUUAAAAUGUGCAGUUUUGUCACACAACACAAUGCCACUGAUGUCUCAAGUUGAGGGAGUGUGCAAUUGGCAUGCUGACUGCAAUAAUGUCCACCAGAGCUGUUGCCACAGAAUCGAAUGUUAAUUUCUGUAACAUAACCCUUCUCUAACGUUGUUUUAGAGAAUUUGGCAGUACGUCCAACCGGCAUCACAACCGCAGACCAAGUGUAAUCACGCCAAUCCAGGAACUCCAAAUCUGGCUUCUUCACCUACACCUGAUUGGCUGGGCCUUGCUCUCCAGUGUGUGGGCCUGAAUCCCAAGUGGGUGGUGCUAUGCCCUCCCAGGCCCACCCAUUGCUCCGCCCCUGCCCAGUCAUGUGAAAUCCAUAGAUUAGGGCCUAAUUUAUUUAUUUCAAUUGACUGAUUUCCUUAUAUGAACUGUAACUCAGGAAAUUUGUUGAAAUUGCAUGUUGAAUUUAUAUUUUUGUUCAGUAUAUAGCAUCUAAACUUUUCCCAUCCACCUGUCACGUCUGCUCCCGCUCUUCCCUUCCCCUGGCGCUUGAGGGCCCCAGAUUACCCUGCAUCACACGCUCCUGCCAUCAAUCAUGCACACCUGCCUUCCCUCAUCACUCGCAUCAGCAUUAUUGGACUCACCUGGACUCACUUAUCUCCUGUUGAUUUCCUCCCCUAUAUUUGUCAGUCCCCCAGCUCUGUUCCCUGCUGAUUCAUUGAUUGUUUUUUGUCUUUGUUUUCUGUUUGCUGACGCUGUUCCUGGCUCGUUAUAUGUCCAUUAUUUAUUAAAUGUUACUCCCUGUACCUGCUUCGUGUCUCUCCAGCGACAUCUCAUGUGACACCACCUCUCCUUCUGUCUUUCUAAUGUAACAGUCACGAGAUGCAUUUGUUUCAAAAUCUUUCCAGGAUGGUGGUUCCUGCUGCACUCUUUCCAACUCCAGUCUUCCCCACCAGAACAAUCCAGACCUCAUGUUCUGUUGGAUUACAAUGAAAAUGUUGUUGCCUUUGACAUGAUUAUAACCUUGAUGUUCUUCCUGUUAGCACAUUUACAAACAUACUUUUUCUGUUAAAUAGUUUUCCCUCCAAAUUGAGUGGAACAAGGGAGGGUAUCAGUUCCUGGUGUGACCAGACAAGAGGAUGUAUUUCUGUUAAAUAGCUUCAGUAAAACAUUUUGAAGUGAAACAGUUUUCCCUCCAAAAAAUGAGAGCUGUGAGGACUCCAGGUCUGUUACUGAACUGAUUAAGUUGAUGCAGAUCUCUUACUAGUGUAGAUAGUUGAAUGAGGGCCAUGCUUUAACCCUGGUAGUAAAACAGAACCACUUGAUCAGUUCAGGGUCAGAUAAUGACAUGAUGGUUUUAGAGUGCAUUGAUGGUGAGAAGUUGACAACCACAGAUCUACGAUCAGAUUUCAUUGCUGUCAGUACAAACCUUAACAAUAGGAAGUGUAUAUUCAGUUGGCAGAUCCAAAGGUUAGGGUUAUUAGGGAUACAAUUGGUUAAUAGUAGGUUUAAGCUUAGAGUUAAUGUUACUCAUAGUGUUGUAGGUUUAGGGUUACCCAUGUUAUAGGAUUAGGGUUACACAGUGUUAUAGGAUUAGGG
ensembl:lncRNA